UACGAAGGGGGCUAGCGUUGUUCGGAAUUACUGGGCGUAAAGGGAGCGUAGGCGGGUCGUCAAGUUGGGGGUGAAAGCCCAGGGCUCAACCUUGGAACUGCCUUCAAAACUGACGAUCUAGAGUAUGGAAGAGGUAAGUGGAACUCCGAGUGUAGAGGUGAAAUUCGUAGAUAUUCGGAAGAACACCAGUGGCGAAGGCGACUUACUGGUCCAUGACUGACGCUGAGGCUCGAAAGCGUGGGGAGCAAACAGG
rnacentral:rRNA from 1 species